UACACCUUGUAAAAGUAAAUAAAUAAUCUUUAAAUUUCAACUAGAAAGAAAUUUACCCAGUUAUUGAAGAAGUGAAUUUCAAAACCAAAAUCUUCUAACAUACAAAUUUACCAAAUCCAGUCUAUUUCAAAAUUGUAAGAAGUCAGACUCACAGAAAAUAUAAAUUAAAGAUUCGAUUUCUAUUCUUAGAUUAUUAUGUGUAGAAUAUUAAAAAAUAUAAAUAGUAAUAGAAAAAUGAGAAGCCUCUCAGCAAGCCAGGGCAGAGGAAAAGCUGUGAGCAACCAUGUCUUCUCCUGGUUCUCAUUCUGUUUUCUGAGUUAUGUAAUAUAUGAAAUUUAGUUACAGGCUUAUAGAAAAAAAACAAUCAUGACCUAUUUGAAACGGUCGGAAACAUGAUUUAAGAAGAUUUCCAAGAUACACCAUGAAGGCAAACUUGUUAUAGGAGAAAGACGCUCAUUACUUCCUUGUCCAAUGAGACCACACAUGCUGAUACUGCUCGCCAAACAGGAGUUUUCAGAGAUAGGCGUGAAGGACUUACAUGUUAUGGAUGAUACAAGCAUAGCCAUGGUAAUCAGGACAGACCAUGGCUAUCUCAGUUGCUGGUGGUGGAAACCAAGAACACGAACUCUUUGUGAAGAUAACAGGAGUAUAGAAGGAUCGACUCCAGAAGCUUUCCAAUGUACAUCAUGAAGGCCAAACUUGGCUCAGCUGACAAGAAAGGCAGGCCCGCCGUUUAGAGGCCCUCAUCCAUGCCCGCCUUGAAAUCUAGAAACAAGCGUGAAAAAUUCUCUGUACCCUAAUCUUAGCGCUAGUUGUUAGCUAGUGCUUAGCAGUUCUUCUGUGGUGGACACAGAAACCAGUAAAUGAAGGGAUAAGAGCAGUCAAAGACAGGGAAAGAUCUACACCUCUGUCAAAAUGACCAAUUACGGCCACAGGGAGAUGUAAAGUGUAAGAAGCAUUGGUGGAUCUUGUGAUGUACAAUUGUAUUCUCAUAGGCCAUUAUUAGUGCAAUUAGGAUAUAUUGUAUUCAUGCAGUAAACAAACAAAAAAUAAAUAACAAAUUCUGAAAAGUGGUGUGAACUGGUGUAGGUAAUACAGAUUAGUAGGAAUUAUUUAAUUUUAUAAAAUUGUUAAUAGCAGUGGAAAAAAAGGAAGGUGAAAACUGUCCUCUCAGCAA